CCUAAAAUCCCCGUCAAUUAAAGACCCAAUUUUUGCACGCAGAAACAAAGCAGAAUAAAUGGAGGAUUUGAAGAAGAGAAAGAUGGAAGACAUGGGAAACAACGGACAGUUAUCAACUCUAGAAGACCUACGUUCUUUGCUUGACCCUCUUGCUAAAUCCCAGCUCGUCGAUCUUCUUUCUAGAUUAGGGUCCCAAUUUACUUCAAUUGCUGAAGAAAUUAAAAGUAUUGCCAGUUCAGAUCCUUUACAUCGAAAUCUUUUUGUUCGUGGCUUAGCCUGGAAUACCACUUCAGAAACCUUGUGUGCUGCCUUUUGAAUGCAUGGAGAAAUAGAAGAGGGGCUGUCAUCUAUGACAAAGCCACAGGAAAAUCUCGUGGAUACGGUUUCAUUACUUACAAACACAUGGAGUAAGCGAAUAGUGCACAUAGAGCACCCAGUACUCAUUGAUGUUGAUACAUUGCAAAAUCUAUCACGGUAACAUGGAUGUCAGUACACGUGCAACUCCAGAUUAUGUGCAUAUCUUAAAAUGGAGGAGUUGGCUACUGUAUCAAUAUAUACUUGCUUCAGAUGCAUUCUGUCCUUUGAUACAUGUGUGGUUGAUACAUUUUUCUGUCAUUGACUUUAUUUCUUAACUGGUCCAUAUUCAGGGCCGGAAGGCUGUAUGUAAUUUAGCUUUUGAGGGGUUAAGUGGGUUGGGUGCCACACCUGAUCUUGCACAAAGGAAGCUCUAUAUUGGGGGCCUAUCACCAGAUGUCUCAGGUGAGAUGCUUCUGAAUUAUUUUGGAAGACAUGGUGAGAUUGAGGAAGGCUCAGUUGCAUAUGAAAAAGAUACAAAUGAAUCACGUGGGUUUGGUUUUGUUACAUACAAAGACAGUGGAGGCUGCAAAGAAAGCGAUUGAUAGUCCACAAAAGAUUCUUGGGGCACAUACCUCCAAGUAACAUCCGAGUAACAUAGGUGGGAAGUGAUUCGGCCUAGAUUAUUAUAAUUCCUUUGAUAAGGGGAGAACUAUCAUUGUGAAGCUUGCUGAUACCAACAAGGGAAAACCUUUACAAACACAGUUACCCCUGCAGCUGUAAUUCCUCUUGCGAUGCCUAUGGCACCUGGCUACCCACAGCUUGGGAAAGCACACCUCAGUGCUGCCCCUGCUGGCUACGCUUAUCCUCAACCUGUGGCAUCAUAUCAAACUUCUUCAUACUCUAGUCCUAGCGCGGCACCUGCACCAUACCCAAGCCAACCGCCAAUUCCUUAUGCACCGGGUGCUGCAAAGAAAGAUCCACAAGGAAUCCCACCAACUGACACCAUCGGAUUGAGUGGGUACCCAUAUUAUAUUGGCAAACAAUAAUAAAGUCCCAGGCCAUUCAUGGUCAGUGACAUUGGUCGAUUGUAUCUUAAACCACUUUGCGAGAGCAGGCGUUGCAGAUCAGAACAGGAAGACAUCAGGAGUUGUGAUAUAGGAGAGGUUAAUUUUCUUUAGAAUGAACUGAAAGUGACUCAUGACAGUUUCUUUUCUUUUGUCAAAUGAUAUUAGGCUACUUUUGAGCUUCUGGUCGUCAUGAGUUUGUAUAUGGAUAACUACAUGAAUUUCUGUGUUGGUAGUAAAUCGGCCAGUCCGGAAAGGGAUGAAUGCAGGUUUCCCGGUUCUGCCAUGGAAGAUUGAUAUGAAAUAUAGAGACGAACGACGAACUAGCUGUUGUUGUGUGAUGGAAACUAUAUAAUUUCAGGAUUUUGAAAUGUUUUGCAGAUAGAGGAUUAAGAAAAAGCAUGAAGUUUUGCAAAAUAUGGGA